UUUGAAAAGUAUCCGAGUUUGAAGAGUAGAGAGUUUGAAUGUGCAGCAUGUUCCAAUCGAUUCGAAUCAUUUUUUCCGUUUGUUUUCUAUACCACUGCCUGGCUGCCAAGCCUACAUUAUUUAAAUAUCAAUGCUUCGUUCCCUUGUGAAGAACGAAAAUGUUUAAAAAAAAAAAAAAAAACGAAAAUGUUUACCAUAUUGUGUUCUUUGUUUUAAUUAGUACGGUACGGAAGGAGAAUUUUAGAACGUGUUAGAGGAUUACGUGAGAAAUGGAUUUGUUUUUGGUUGAACGUGUAAAUUUUGUAAAGCUGCGCCAAGAAUUUUUAAGCUUACACUGUAUGAUAAAGAUAAUGUGUAUGCAAGUAUGAGAUGAUAGUAGUGGUAGAUCACGAGGACACCAAAUCUUCAAAAUGGCUCGUCACCACUCAGGGAAAAUUGAUUUACUAUAAAAAAUUCGUAUUUUCUCAGCGUACGUUGAUUGUGCAUCUAGUAAGAAAUUCUCACCCAAGUAUUGUGCACGUUUUACAUUUUGCUUGAAGAUUGUAAUAUUCAUCAAACAGAUAAGAAGUUGUUUAUCUUUUGUUUGUUAUUCAAACCUUUUAUCCGGAUAAGAAUUUUGAAUGUUCCCGCAAUAAAUAAUACACUGUCUUUUUUUCUCAGUCUUGGAAGAAUCAUCUCGACAGAGAUAUAUUUUUAAUUUAUAAAAACACACAUGGAUCGAGAUCCAGACAAUGUACAACUUGUUUCCAUUAAUUUUAAGGUUCUAACCUUCUCAAUUGUCUCAUAAUGGGUGUAGAGUUGUAAAGUAUGGAUCAACGAAGAUCCGCAAUCAACUACCUUGUGGAAAGCCGAGAAAGUUUCUGAGAAAAAUAAGAAAAGUGUAAAAAAAAAAAAAAAGAGAAGAUAAACGAUGAUCGAAAACAACAAUUUAUACCGAUGAAGAGUAUUUUAUGCAUUAUCAAUGUAGUGUUGCUGUACGUUUAAGGUAAAAUUAAAAAUUGUAACGAAAACCUCGAGGUUGACGAUGUUUGCAAAAUUUGCGAGUAUUUCUAAGACUGCAAAGAAAUCCCUGACGUUUGUCUUAGUGAUGGCCAACAAUCGUGGGAAAUACCACCUGCGACCUCGUCUCCAACGAAUCAAUAUUACACAUGUGUUCCAGAAACAUAUGGUGACGGGGGUUUCCCAGUUCCCAGAAAAGAAAUAGAAGGAUUUUAUACAGGAAGGGGAGAAACAUUAACGUAAUAUUUUAUUUGUUAUUAAGCAUAUCUGUGACAAAGAUUAUGGGCAA